AUUGAACGCUGGCGGCAGGCCUAACACAUGCAAGUCGAGCGGAUGAAGGGAGCUUGCUCCUGGAUUCAGCGGCGGACGGGUGAGUAAUGCCUAGGAAUCUGCCUGGUAGUGGGGGAUAACGUCCGGAAACGGGCGCUAAUACCGCAUACGUCCUGAGGGUGAAAGUGGGGGAUCUUCGGACCUCACGCUAUCAGAUGAGCCUAGGUCGGAUUAGCUAGUUGGUGGGGUAAAGGCCUACCAAGGCGACGAUCCGUAACUGGUCUGAGAGGAUGAUCAGUCACACUGGAACGGAGACACGGUCCAGACUCCUACGGGAGGCAGCAGUGGGGAAUAUUGGACAAUGGGCGAAAGCCUGAUCCAGCCAUGCCGCGUGUGUGAAGAAGGUCUUCGGAUUGUAAAGCACUUUAAGUUGGGAGGAAGGGCAGUAAGUUAAUACCUUGCUGUUUUGACGUUACCAACAGAAUAAGCACCGGCUAACUUCGUG
rnacentral:rRNA from 1 species